rnacentral:rRNA from 1 species
AGACCCCGUGAACCUUUACUACAGCUUGGCACUGAACAUUGAACCUACAUGUGUAGGAUAGGUGGGAGGCUUUGAAGGCGUGACGCCAGUUGCGCUGGAGCCGUCCUUGAAAUACCACCCUUGUAUGUUUGAUGUUCUAACGCAGGCCCAUGAAUCUGGGCCGCGGACAGUGCCUGGUGGGUAGUUUGACUGGGGCGGUCUCCUCCCAAAGAGUAACGGAGGAGCACGAAGGUUGGCUAAUCCUGGUCGGACAUCAGGAGGUUAGUGCAAUGGCAUAAGCCAGCUUAACUGCGAGACGGACAGGUCG